GACUAGUCAAGGAACCUGACCCAGGAACCUGACCCAGAUUAAACCUAGCUUUAGGGGAGGUCGUCUGGCUGAGCACACUUUAUCAUCUACUGACUAGUCAAGGAACCUGACCCAGGAACCUGACCCAGAUUAAACCUAGCUUUAGGGGAGGUCGUCUGGCUGAGCACACUUUAUCAUCUACUGACUAGUCAAGGAACCUGACCCAGGAACCUGACCCAGAUUAAACCUAGCUUUAGGGGAGGUCGUCUGGCUGAGCACACUUUAUCAUCUACUGACUAGUCAAGGAACCUGACCCAGGAACCUGACCCAGAUUAAACCUAGCUUUAGGGGAGGUCGUCUGGCUGAGCACACCUUAUCAUCUACUGACUAGUCAAGGAACCUGACCCAGGAACCUGACCCAGAUUAAACCUAGCUUUAGGGGAGGUCGUCUGGCUGAGCACACCUUAUCAUCUACUGACUAGUCAAGGAACCUGACCCAGG